CACCUAUGGCAGUGAUAUAAUCUGAAAGCUAGAUCACACGAGCAUCACAGGAGGACUAGAGUCUUGCUGUAUUUCCCAGGCUGGUCCCAAACUUCUGUUCUCAAGAGAUUCUCCUGCCUUAGCCUCUUGAGUUCCUGGGAUUACAGGGAACUAACAUGCAAGGAUGGGAGAGAGGCCUCUGGAACUAAUGGCAGUCCUCACCAGACAGCCAGCAAGAAAACAGAACCUCAGUCCUACAGCCGCAUGAACCAACUCUGCCAACAAUCAGAAGGAGGCUGGAAGUAGAUACUUAGAACCCUGCCAACACCUUCAUUUCCACCUUCUGAUAUUCUAAGCAGAAUAUCAACUCACUGUACCUGGACUUCUG
rnacentral:lncRNA from 13 species